CCUACGGGAGGCAGCAGUGAGGAAUAUUGGUCAAUGGGCGCGAGCCUGAACCAGCCAAGUAGCGUGAAGGAUGACUGCCCUACGGGUUGUAAACUUCUUUUAUAAAGGAAUAAAGUGAGGCACGUGUGCCUUUUUGUAUGUACUUUAUGAAUAAGGAUCGGCUAACUCCGUGCCAGCAGCCGCGGUAAUACGGAGGAUCCGAGCGUUCUCCGGAUUUAUUGGGUUUAAAGGGAGCGUAGAUGGGUUGUUAAGUCAGUUGUGAAAGUUUGCGGCUCAACCGUAAAAUUGCAAUUGAUACUGGCAGCCUUGAGUACAGUUGAGGUAGGCGGCCUUCGUGGUGUAGCGGUGACAUGCUUCGCUCUCAC
rnacentral:rRNA from 1 species